rnacentral:rRNA from 1 species
AGUGAACGCUGGCGGUAGGCCUAACACAUGCAAGUCGAACGGCAGCACAGUAAGAGCUUGCUCUUACGGGUGGCGAGUGGCGGACGGGUGAGGAAUACAUCGGAAUCUACUUUUUCGUGGGGGAUAACGUAGGGAAACUUACGCUAAUACCGCAUACGACCUACGGGUGAAAGCAGGGGAUCUUCGGACCUUGCGCGAUUGAAUGAGCCGAUGUCGGAUUAGCUAGUUGGCGGGGUAAAGGCCCACCAAGGCGACGAUCCGUAGCUGGUCUGAGAGGAUGGUCAGCUACACUGGAACUGAGAAACGGUCCAGACUCCGACGGGGGGCAGCAGUGGGGAAUAUUGGACAAUGGGGGCAAGCCUGAUCCAGCAAUACCGCGUGGGUGAAGAAGGCCUUCGGGUUGUAAAGCCCUUUUGUUGGGAAAGAAAAGCAGCAGGUUAAUACCCCGCUGUUCUGACGGUACCCAAAGAAUAAGCACCGGCUAACUUCGUG